GUCAUCUGGUUGCGCGCGGUGCUUCUUCACUUUCGCUUGCUGCCGGGAGAGGAGUGGGUGUGCUUUCCAAGCCGGGCGCCUUCAUCAAGGUUUUCAAGGGAUACUGAUGCACACGAAACAUGAGGGAACGGGUUCCAGCUUCACAGAAACCAAAGUUAUUGGUUUAUCUUUACUUAAUGCAUGAUCCAGUAAGACAGCCCCCACACAUGGAAUUCAAAUCAGGCUGGCAGGAACACUCAGAAGUCAGACAAAGUUCAGACAUUACAUCCUUAGAAGGACGCUGAAUGCUUAUCUUACUGUUGGAUUGUUUUGGCACUGCUUACGAAUUUGUUACAUAAUUUUCUCUGUUGAAAGGACUGUCUUGGAACAACUACUGAGAUCUGAAGUCUAAAAACUACUCUUGACAUCUGGCUAUGGCAUGAGAAGUUGUAUCACUGUCUACUUCAGUAGGCCACCUGUUCAAGCUGUAUCUGCCUUGCAUGCCCUUUGGCCAGUGAGAAAGAACUACCAAUGCAAAUGUUUUCCCUGCAGUGCAGGAGGAGCUGUGAAGAUGAAAGAAGCACAUUCUUUCCUCACAGUGGAAAUGCAUUAAUAAACCUUCACAAUGGAUGAACAGCAGCAGUGAGGGUACCAACCUUUGAAGAUACUGCUUUUGUCCAGGGGGAGUAAAAUGUGUCCUAAAUAAUAAUAAUAAUAAAUAUAGAGUUAUGUAUGUGUUCUUAAAAUAAGAGUCAAAAUUAUUGGGAAUUAACUUUCUAAAUAACUAAUAUAUUCUGUUACUCAGAAAAUCUGCCCACCAGGAACUACAGGAGUGGAAUAAUUCUAUGAGUCUCACCUGUGUGUAUACUCUUUGCUGACUGCUGCUACCACAGCCUGCGUCUUGAUCCACUGCAAACUGACAGUGGCAGUACGCUUUCAUUUCAGGCUUGACAUGUCUCUUGAUUGAAUUUUUGUUUAGUGUGAGCUGAAACAUGCUCUGAGACAAGAAAGCUGGCUUUUUUAGUAGGAAGGAAGAGGAACUGUAGUGUUGGCCUCAUUCUGGAUAAAACUUGAUUUGGAACUAUUUGUUCUUGAAGAAUUAAUUUUACGUUGGAAUGUAAAUGAACACAUUGGCAUUCUUUUAUAUGAAGUUAUUUUAAGUUAUAUUUACCAUCAGAUUAUAUGAACAUCUAUUUUAUAUAUUUAUUUUUAUUAUUAUUAUUACUUUAUCUUUGCCUGCAUGACCGUCAGGAGAAGAGGCAGGACUAAAGAAAGCAUCCGUGUUUACAGGAACCUUAUCAUCUCACAGCAUUUCACAAAUUCUGCUGUUUACUUCUGCCUAACUACCUUUUUCAUAGGAAACUGGAGAGGGAAGAAGCAGCAGAACUUCUGUAUUUUAAGCACAAGAGCUUUACUCUCACUACCUCUGUACCACAGCAGUGUGCCUCUAUUUUCACCUGGAAAGAAAAACAGGAUGUGAAAAGCAAAUUUAAUAUCUCCUUCUGAGAUUCCUCAGUUUCAUAUUCAUUGAGGAGAGAAUGAAGGAAUAGUUUUUGUUACCAGUUUUCCAGUCAUCUGCACCUUUACCAACCUCCAUUUCUUGGAGAUGUUAUAGUUUAAGCUUCAUUUUCCAAAUAUUCCUUCACUGACCUAGAAGUGUGUUCCAUAUCAGAAUUGACUCAAUACGAAAGUUAAUACUACUCAGAUACAAUUCUUCUCCUUCCAAUGAUUUUCUCUUUUCUCUGUAGUAACAACAACAACAAAACUUUCUGGAGCAAGUCCAGGAGUUAAGGUCAAGAUAAAGAAGCAGCAUUAUGAAAGUUUGUGACACUGCUGAGAGAUCAUGCUGGGAAGGAAUGCCAGCAGGUCAUAGGGACUUCCAGGAGCACUGGGAGAAGAUAGAAGCCUGGGAAGAAUCAGCAGAGGGUUUUAGAUGCUGAACUGCAGACUGAAAGUGGACAUCCUGGAGUGUAUAGUUCAGAAGUCUGUUGGACAGUUUUGAGGCAACUGUUAACAAUGAAGCUUUUUGUCUCCUACUUUUCCUACAUCCACAACAGCAUUUUGUUUCUGUAGGAAAAACCUAGGUAAACUUUGCUACCCAGUCAUACUUAUCUGAGCAUAACUUGUCAAUUAGGACAGCUCUGAUAUAUAGCUAUUUAGUGAUUUUGAAUAUAGGUUGCUGUACCUCUCCCUGAGUUGGCCACUAGGAAGCAUAACGAGCCUACAGGGCAUGUUAGUGGUAAUUUAAAGCUGUUGCAGAACACUGUGAAGAGGCUGAGCUCUGGAAGGCUGGAACCAAGCUCACUGUAACCAAGGUCCACUCGUGCUCAUUGUCUGAGCCUAUUCCUGGGACUGUACUGACCCCUAGUGACUACAACUCUAAUUAAAUAAUUUCCAAAGCCUCUGUAUAAUUAUUAUUUUUACACAAAGUAUUGCUGUACAAAGGAGCUUUCAUUAAAAGGUGUCUCCAUUAGGAGGACAUUAUUAAAAUACUUUUUAAGCAAUGUCUACAGGAAGGGAAAUUUUGCUGUUUUUAUUUUACAAUAACCCAUUAUUUUUUUUCUCAUGUGUGUGCUGACUUAAGACAUACUUUGAUAUAUUAAUAAAUGAACAGCUUAUUUAAAAUACCACUGCUGCUAAGAUCCUGGGAGUCAGUGAUUUUAAU
rnacentral:lncRNA from 1 species